GACGAACGCUGGCGGCGUGCUUAACACAUGCAAGUCGAACGGAAAGGCCCUGCUUUUGUGGGGUGCUCGAGUGGCGAACGGGUGAGUAGCACGUGAGUAACCUGCCCUUGACUUUGGGAUAACUUCAGGAAACUGGGGCUAAUACCGGAUAGGAGCUCCUGCUGCAUGGUGGGGGUUGGAAAGUUUCGGCGGUUGGGGAUGGACUCGCGGCUUAUCAGCUUGUUGGUGGGGUAGUGGCUUACCAAGGCUUUGACGGGUAGCCGGCCUGAGAGGGUGACCGGACAAAUUGGGACUGGAAUACGACCCAGACUCCAACGGGAGGCAGCAGUGGGGAAGAUUGCACAAGGGGCGGAAGCCUGAUGCAGCAACGCCGCGUGCGGGAUGACGGCCUGCGGGUUGUAAACCGCUGUCGCCUGUGACGAAGCGUGAGUGACGGUAAUGGGUAAAGAAGCACCGGCUAACUACGUG
rnacentral:rRNA from 1 species